CAAUUACUCCCUCCGUCCAACAAAAAAUGUCUCAUUUUAAAUGUAUCUAGACAUGACUUAGUGUAUAGAUGCAUUCAAAUUUAGUCAAAGUUGAGACAUCUUUGGUUGGACGGAGGAAGUAUAUG
rfam:Brachypodium distachyon strain Bd21 chromosome 4, whole genome shotgun sequence.